UACGUAGGGGGGCAAGCGUUGUCCGGAAUUAUUGGGCGUAAAGAGCUCGUAGGCGGUCUGUUGCGUCCGCUGUGAAAACCCGGGGCUUAACCCUGGGCUGGCAGUGGAUACGGACAGACUAGAGGUAGGUAGGGGAGAAUGGAAUUCCCGGUGUAGCGGUGAAAUGCGCAGAUAUCAGGGAGAACACCUAUAGCGAAGGCAGCUCGCUGGGACGACACUGACGCUGAGACGCGAAAGCGUGGGGAGCGAACAGG
rnacentral:rRNA from 1 species